rnacentral:SRP_RNA from 1 species
GCUAGGUUUGGUGGCACACGCCUACAGCCCCAGCUACUUGGGAGGCUGAAGCAGGAGGAUCCCUAGAGCCCAGGAAUUCUGGGCUGUGGUGCACUAUGCCGGUUGGGUGUAAGUUUGGCAUCAAUAUGGUGAUCUCCCUGAAGCGGGAAACCACAAACUUGCCUAAGGAGGGGUGAACCCAGCCCAGAUUGGAAAUGGAGCAGGCCAAAACUCCCAGGCUGAUCAGUAAUGGGAUCUUGCCUAUGAAUAGCCAGUGCACUGCAGCCUGGGCAACACAGUGAGAACCUGUCUUA